rnacentral:rRNA from 1 species
UGGGGAAUAUUGGGCAAUGGGCGCAAGCCUGACCCAGCAACGCCGCGUGAAGGAAGAAGGCUUUCGGGUUGUAAACUUCUUUUCUCAGGGACGAAGAAAGUGACGGUACCUGAGGAAUAAGCCACGGCUAACUACGUGCCAGCAGCCGCGGUAAUACGGAGGUGGCAAGCGUUAUCCGGAUUUAUUGGGUGUAAAGGGCGUGUAGGCGGGAGCGCAAGUCAGAUGUGAAAACUCAGGGCUCAACCCUGAGCCUGCAUUUGAAACUGUGUUUCUUGAGUGCUGGAGAGGCAAUCGGAAUUCCGUGUGUAGCGGUGAAAUGCGUAGAUAUACGGAGGAACACCAGUGGCGAAGGCGGAUUGCUGGACAGUAACUGACGCUGAGGCGCGAAAGCGUGGGGAGCAAACAGG